CCGCGAGGAAAGGGGACGUACGGACAACAGGCCGAUUAUUCCUGUGAUCGGGGCUACACCUUGACUGGAGAAAGAAUCAUUACCUGCACCGACACUAGGCACUGGAGCCACCCCGCCCCCAUCUGUACAGCUGUAGAUUGUGGUGAACCACCAAGACUAGAGAACGGGAUCCACACUGGGAACGACUACAGCUUUGACAAAUGGCUCUUUUACCGCUGCAAUAAAGGCUACGAGCUGUUUGGCAGUUCACGGAUACUCUGCACGCACGAGGGAUGGACCAAGCUCAAGACUUGGUGUCAAA